rnacentral:rRNA from 1 species
GAUGAACGCUGGCGGCGUGCCUAAUACAUGCAAGUCGAGCGAACGGACGGGGAGCUCGCUCCUCUGACGUUGGCGGCGGACGGGUGAGUAACACGUGGAUAACCUACCUAUAAGACUGGGAUAACUUCGGGAGACCGGAGACAAUACCGGAUCAUACAUUGAACCGCAUGGAUCAAUAGUGAAAGACGGUUUUGCUGUCACUAUUAGACGGUUCCGCGCCGCAUUAGCUAGUUGGUAAGGUAACGGCUUACCAAGGCUACGAUGCGUAGCCGACCUGAGAGGGUGAUCAGCCACACUGGAACUGAGACACGGUCCAGACUCCUACGGGAGGCAGCAGUAGGGAAUCUUGCACAAUGGGCGAAAGCCUGACGCAGCAACGCCGCGUGAGUGAUGAAGGUCUUCGGGUCGUAAAGCUCUGUUAUUAGGAAAGAACAAAUGUGUAAUUAACUAUGCACGUCUUGACGGUACCUAAACAGAAAGCCACGGCUAACUACGUG